rnacentral:rRNA from 1 species
CCGUAGCCCAAGAGAUCGGGAUAACACCUGGAAACAGAUGCCAAUACCGGAUAACAACAGAUGAUGCCUAUCAACUGUUUAAAAGAAUGGUUCUGCUAUCACUCUUGGAUGGACCUGCGGUGCAUUAGCUAGUUGGUAGGGUAACGGCCUACCAAGGCGAUGAUGCAUAGCCGAGUUGAGAGACUGAUCGGCCACAUUGGGACUGAGACACGGCCCAAACUCCUACGGGAGGCAGCAGCU